rnacentral:antisense_RNA from 1 species
AACCAACAACAAUUUUUUGAAUUACUCUAUUGGGUAAUUCGCCUUUACCGUCGAGCCUAACCAACUCGACGGUUUUUUUG